ensembl:lncRNA
GGAAAAGGUGGUAAACCACGUUGCCAAGAGCAGCAGCAAACUUACCUUACAUGAGGUGGGUUUUCAAUGGACUGUUUCUUCAGCGGUCCCACGCAGUUCGCUUUUGAAACCUUGGGCCCUUCUGCCACCCACUGCCAAUGUGUGCUUCAGUUACUUCUCACAUUGAAGCCAAGUUUUUCAGUUAGCUGCAGGGCAACUGGGAAUGAGAAAACAUCCAUGGUAAGGCAGAGAAGUGUUGUCAUAAAGCAGAGGUGACCUCAAAAUUACAAUCAAUAACCUCCAUGAGAUGGAACGAGCCAAACUGAUCUUGGAAGACACUGUAAAGAGGUGGCAGCUUUAAGGGAAUUCUCCAGGGUAUGGAAUCCUAUUGAGCACAGCUGUGCUACAUCAUAGCUCCAACAGCAUUGGCUACACCUGUAAAGUUGCUGAACUAGAAAGUCAAAGGAAAAUCCACAGCCAUACCUCGCUCUCAUCAGUAGUAACACAGUGCCAAGCAGAAGUACAGUUCAGCUGCUCAGGUAAAUCAAAUCAGAAAUACAUGGUUCUGUUCCUAAGUUUUUCUCUGACUCAUUGUCUGAUAUUUGUAAUUCAACUCCCACAGUCACCCACGUAUAAAGUGUGUAUAAUCACUGGGAAGUUAUGAGGAUUAACUGAUUCUAUGUUGAUGUAAGGCUUUAUUUAUGAUCCUCAGAUAAAAACUGCUUUAGAAAGGCAGAAUAUUAUCACAAAUUUAAUUUAUUCUAGUGUCAUCAUCAAUUACUUUUGUUAUGGGUCUGCCAGCACUUCUGACAAACCUCCCCACAGAAAUAAGCUUUGCAGAAUACAUAUUUACAGCUCCGUAUUAUCCAAACUGCUGAUCUACCUAGUUACCUAAUGCAACAUGUAAGACCAUGAAUAAAUACUGGCAUGAUUUGCUAACACAAAUCCUAACACAAAGCUUUUAGGGAGUAUAGGUUACCUGUGCUUCAGAGCAGAGCCACUGGAAGUCUCAAAUAUAGAUAGAAAAAAAACUACAGAGUGCUGAUAUUUGUGCUUCACACCACAGACCAUGCAGCUCCUUGGGGUGCUCACACCUCUACUUACAGACAAGUUGACGAUGGGGCAACAAAGAGCUUUGACAAAGGGCAAAUGGACUUUAAGGCCAGAGACAGGACGUUAAAUUCUGCUUCACUCUGAACAAAGAUUAACCUGUUAGCUACAGAGAGGUAACACUUAUUUGGCUUAGCUCAUGUGAGAUAACAUCCUACCUUUUCUUAACCCAUAGCAGCCUGCUCGUGCAGCUUUAUCUUUUUUUUGAUAAGAUCGAGUUGCAUAGAAGAACAACACAGACCUUUUAAGCCUACCCUGUUAAAAUGGAUUCUGGGGCCAAUCUCUCUUUACACUCUUAAGCAAUAGAAUCAGCUGAGAUAUGGGAUUUGUCUUUCCCUACGUAGAACUUGACCUUUUUUUCCCCCCUAUAGCAGCUCUUGCAAGGUACUGUUCCACUCACCACGCAAGGAAAGGUGGUAAAUAAAACCAAAAAUGGGAACACAGCUCACAAAGUACUGCCAUUCUGAAUUCAAAUGUUUUUCAGCUGGCAUAUUUCAAUGCCCAAAUACUUAAUCAAAAUACCUAAUCAAAACCCCGCAUUUCUACAACAAAAAAGCAACCCACAAACCUGGGCCUGCAGCUGUUCCUGUGAACAAGCACCUAUUUCCCUCAAGUAACCAAAUCAGCUCCAUUACAUCGCCAAUGGCCAGAUUCCAACACAGCAGAGCAAGCCACUGAUGCUGCACAUAAUACCAGUUGUCUACUAAGACACACGGCCACACCUUUCCUGUUUCCUUGGCUAAGUAUUCCCAGCUGUAGACCUUUCCCAGGAAAAAAUAAUCCUGUAGACCUGGCAAGCACACAGAGGAGGGAGUAAAGAAAUAAAGACUCGUUUGUAUCCACACAAGUUUAUCUUGCAUCUCUCAGUCACAGACACUGCUGUGUUUGUGGUGCACUCUCCAGGCCCUUAUACUGAAGGGCUGGAAGAAGAGAUGGAAGCCAAGAAUGCACUCACAGGCUCCUCACAGGGAAUAAGAACUUCUUUCCCUCUUUCCCACUAGGUGGAGAACCAAGGAAGGGAUCUGCCUUGUGAUCUUAUGGAUCUCUACUCCCUGGAAAGACACUGGUGUUACAACAGCUGCACCCAGGUCAGAUACCUUCAGCUACAUCUGAACACCUUGUUUUUUUCUUCAGAGAAUGAGAUAUCACUGGGACUCUCCAAAGAAGUUUCUUCAGCAGCUUCUCUAGGCUCCUAAGCAGGGCAGACCUGAUCCAACCUUCCCCUCACACUGUGGAUCUUGGAAGGAAUUAAAAACAAACAAACAACAAAAAACACAAAACCCACGAGGCUCCAUGAAAUUGGCUGAGCUUUGCCAUUCCUCUGGGGUUGAGCAGAAGUUGAUCAGAGGUUUGUUAGAAAGCAGCCCAUUCAGUCAUACACAGUAAAAAGAUAAAGCAAGACUGUUCAGCCUAUUUUCUGCUGCUUUGCAAGGGAAAUACAUGAUCUGCAGUCCAGAGAACAACUGUGAGCUUUAGCAAUGAGGCAUGAAGAUGGUUAACUGUUCUGAAAGAUACCAACCCUGUAACAGAGUGGCACCAAAGAUGGAUAUGACUCAGAUAAAGAGCCUAUGAAGGCUAAAUAAAAGCCUUGCAGAAGCCUUUCUUAUAAAGCACCUCCAAGAUCCACAGCACAAGACAGAUGUGAGCCAGCUGAUACCACAAAGCAGCCAUUUGCAGGCUGAUGCCAAACACUGCCCAGCAUGGCUAACAAAACAGGCAUCUCCCCUCUCUAAAGAUCAGACCAAUUUGCACUCUCCCUGCCUACUACAGUCAUCUCAUUAUAAUUACAACCAACAGAAAUCAACUGAGCUUGCAGGGGAGGGAGGAUACUGUAGCUCUUCAAGCCUUACUCAGCAUCAUAUGACUAACCAUUCUUACCGUUGGACUCAGAUGCUCAUGCUCACAAGCUGAAAGAUAAGCUGUCUGAAGCCAAUGCCCAGCUGGCUGAGGUGGAGAAAAGCCAAGCUGAAAGUAAUGCCAUCAGGCUCCAAGGCCAAUGCUGCUUGUGCUGCUCUGGAAGAAGGAGAGAGCCUUUGAGAAGAUGCUGGCAGAAUGGCAACAAGAAAAUAUGAAGAGCUGCAGGUGGAAGUGAACACUUCCCAGAAGCAAUAUGCAUGACUGAAUGAGGCAUCUCCAGGAAUCAGUUCCAAGGAUGUCACUUGAACUCCCAGAGCCUCCCUUACUUGCUAUACAGGGAGACAAGCUGCCUUGGCUUUUUUUCUUUUUAAUAAAUGAAAAUAUUCUGUAAAUUGUAAAAAUUGAUCUCCUCCAGGAGGCUGAAAGAUGACACUGUCAAUAUUUAGAAGAUGCAGAUUUAGAAUCUGCUUGCCUUUGCAGCCAAGAGAAAAUGGUGAUGGAGUCCCUGGCAGAGAUCCAGCGCUUCCUGGGCUGUCUCUCCCAACCUAUUACUCUGGCCUACAUCACCUGGCAAAGUGCCUCAUUCUGUUGCAUAGAGACAACGUGGAAUCCUAUUUGCAUUUUGUAUGAGCAGCCAUCUGAAAAUGGGAGAGGGGAAG